rfam:Chlamydomonas reinhardtii strain CC-503 cw92 mt+ CHLREscaffold_35 genomic scaffold, whole genome shotgun sequence.
GCACUUAUAGCUCAGUUGGUUAGAGCACCCGUUUAGUAAAUCCGAGGCAUUCACCUCGGGGCGAAACAGCGGGAGGUCUCCAGUUCGAAUCUGGAUAAGUGCA